rnacentral:misc_RNA from 1 species
AAGGAUCAUUAUUGAAUAAGGCUUGGUUGGGUUGCUGCUGGCUUUUAGGAGCAUGUGCACACUCAUUCCAUCUUUUAAACCCACCUGUGCACAUAUUGUAGGCCUGAUCUUUUUCGAGGAAACUCGGUUUGAGAAUUGCGUUCAGCUGUUCUUGCAUUUCAGGUCUAUGUUUCAAACAUAUACUCCAUAAACAAGUAAUAGAAUGUCAAUCAUAGGCCUUCUGGUGCCUUUAAACCUAAUACAACUUUCAACAACGGAUCUCUUGGCUCUC